GACGAACGCUGGCGGCGUGCUUAACACAUGCAAGUCGAACGGUAAGGCCCUUCGGGGUACACGAGUGGCGAACGGGUGAGUAACACGUGGGUGAUCUGCCCUGCACUUCGGGAUAAGCCUGGGAAACUGGGUCUAAUACCGGAUAGGACCACUGCCUGCAGGGGUGGUGGUGGAAAGCUUUUGCGGUGUGGGAUGGGCCCGCGGCCUAUCAGCUUGUUGGUGGGGUGAUGGACUACCAAGGCGACGACUGGUAGCCGGGCUGAGAGGGUGACCGGCCACACUGGGACUGAGAUACGGCCCAGACUCCUACGGGAGGCAGCAGUGGGGAAUAUUGCACAAUGGGAGCAAGCCUGAUGCAGCGACGCCGCGUGAGGGAUGACGGCCUUCGGGUUGUAAACCUCUUUCAGCACCGACGAAGCGCAAGUGACGGUAGGUGCAGAAGAAGGACCGGCCAACUACGUGCCAGCCGCCGCCGUAA
rnacentral:rRNA from 1 species